CGGGGUGCGCAGGCGCGAAAACUUUACAAUGCGGGAAACCGUGAUAAGGGGACACCGAGUGCCAGCAUCAUAUGCUGGCUGUCCAGGUGUGUAAAAUACACCUGUUAGCAAGGGCCGGGCAAGACCGGUGCCAGCCGCCGCGGUAACACCGGCGGCCCGAGUGGUGAUCGUGAUUAUUGGGUCUAAAGGGUCCGUAGCCGGUUUGGUCAGUCCUCCGGGAAAUCUGACGGCUCAACCGUUAGGCUUUCGGGGGAUACUGCCAGGCUUGGAACCGGGAGAGGUAAGAGGUACUACAGGGGUAGGAGUGAAAUCUUGUAAUCCCUGUGAGACCACCUGUGGCGAAGGCGUCUUACCAGAACGGGUUCGACGGUGAGGGACGAAAGCUGGGGGCACGAACCGGAUUAGAUACCCGGGUAGUCCCAGCCGUAAACGAUGCUCGCUAGGUGUCAGGCAUGGCGCGACCGUGUCUGGUGCCGCAGGGAAGCCGUGAAGCGAGCCACCUGGGAAGUACGGCCGCAAGGCUGAAACUUAAAGGAAUUGGCGGGGGAGCAC
rnacentral:rRNA from 1 species